AUGCAAACAAAAUCUUAACAGGUCAAUAUAACCCUUCUUAUUAAAUCUUUAUAUUACUGUGUUUGGGUAGUGACAACUUUGGGGACAGAACAAAUCUUCCAAAACGUUCCAAAAAUACAAUUACUAGAAACCUUGGAUAUUAUACAAUUUGCAUACAUACAAAAUUUGUGGAAAACAAAGCUGUUUCCAACUCUGACUUUGCACCAAAUCUGUAGAAUGGCCCAUAUACACAGUGCGGUUUGACUAUAUUAUUAGACAAACUAAUAAAAAUGUGAAGAGUAUGUUAAAGAAUGUUUACUUUGUAAACUUCACCAGAGCCAAAACGGUCCAUGUUUGAAUAAUCACCCAGUUACAUAUCACAGAAUGUCUAUAAAUCAUGUUUGACUCUUUCUUUUUUACAACACUACAUUAUCAUUGUACAUCACAGAGAAGUGUGUCUGCACAUCCCCCACUUCCUUCUGUGCGUGUCAAACGAGAGUUUGAGGUUUGGGUUGUCUAGACAACCAAGUCCAUCUCGUGUACAUCAUGUUCAGGGAAAUAAGAGAGCGGCCUCCUGUUUAUCAAACUACCACGUACUCAGGACAAAAGUGUUCAGAUUCAAGCAUCUCAGAACAGCGACACCGAAGAAAAAACGUCUGAUGUGACAUUUUCAUUCGAUAAUCUCAUAAUCUGAUAAAUUCUGUAUGCAUAUAAUAACUUUUCAGCAUUUUACCAUUAAGCAAUGUGAAAGUAACAAGCUAUGACUUUAAAUUACACUCAUAUUGACUUUUAUAUGACACAAUACCACACCUUCAUAUUGGACUCAAAGUAUAUGCAAUAUGCUGAUGAAACUGUGUGGUUUUGCACAACAUAGCAACCACCCCUCCCCCUCAGGAAAGAGAUCUACAAGUGCUGCAAACAAGAUUAUGCAUCAAAUGUUCAGCUUAUUAUGAAGCUAUUUAUAAAAACACACACAAAACAAGUGUAACAUCUUCCACCGAUGAUAUUUUCCUCACAGACCAACAUUGCUGUUUUUUAAACUGUUGGAACAUCAAGUUUUUAAAGCCACACCGACAGACUACGUGGAAGCCUGAUGCAAUCUGAUCACAUGUUUGCUAAACUUCCUCUUUACUUCUUUGUGUGAUUUUUAUGUAUGCUAAAGACCAAGGGCUUUUUCUCUCAUUUCUGAUCUGUCUUUUAUCGGUUAAAUGCCCUUAAAAGGAAUUGAUUCGAGUCCGUCUUCGAACGAAACUCGCUGUAGUCCAAUAGGCGUGCAUUCGUGCUUCUUUAAGACAGCGACUGCAGGGCCUCUUCCUGUGGUUUGCACCAUGUGGCCUAAAAAGUGUUAAAAGGCGACAACUUCUUUCUCUUGUCGCUGUUGUUUCCGGGAUCAAGCAGGCAGAGAACUGAUUUAACAAAUGGCUGUGAAAUGAACAUUUGGCGCACAUGGAGAUAAGAGGAAGCGUGCAAAGAAACGAAUGGAGCACAAAGAGAAGAGGCGGGAACCUUAGAGGUACAGUGCAGUCACUCAUAAAGUAGACAGCACUACUAAAGGUCUCUACACGGUGUAGUGUUUCCUACUUUAUGGAUGAGUGUACUGUUGGCUGCGAUGGAUGAUCUUAUGGAGAACUAAAUAAUGCUGAAUCUGAAUGUCUUGUUUAUUAAAUAUUAAUAAAUAUUGUGUUUCAUAACUGA